UAACCCUGGAAGUCAUAUGUUAAGGAUGGCAGAGCUGAAAGAUGGAAGAAUCCUGAAUCCCUGAACCACCCACUGUAGGAGAGUCACCUGCCAAGUAGGAACACCUGUUUUGGUUUUAAGACCUGCAUGGCUCUGACCUGAUGCGGCUUGAAGGGGAUGUGCAUUUUUUUGGAAUUGAGUGCACUCUGCACAUUUGGGAGCCUGGGGAUAGCACAGGGACUCCUUGAGGUCUGAACAAGAACCACUGAUGCAGAACGUGAAGACUGGAAGUGUUCAUUAGCGACCACCCUUUGUUUGACUGAUGAGGAAAUCAAGGCUGAUGAUGUCCUGAUAAAUAACAACUUGCCUACAAGAGCCAGAGAAAUUUUGAAAUGCCUGACAUUGUA